rnacentral:rRNA from 1 species
GCUCAGGAUGAACGCUAGCUACAGGCUUAACACAUGCAAGUCGAGGGGUAGCAGGGUAGCAAUACCGCUGACGACCGGCGCACGGGUGAGUAACACGUAUCCAACCUUCCCAUAACUCGGGGAUAGCCUUUCGAAAGAAAGAUUAAUACCCGAUAGUACUUUUUUAGGGCAUCUUAGAAAAGUUAAAGAUUUAUUGGUUAUGGAUGGGGAUGCGUUCCAUUAGAUAGUUGGUGAGGUAACGGCUCACCAAGUCUUCGAUGGAUAGGGGUUCUGAGAGGAAGGUCCCCCACAUUGGUACUGAGACACGGACCAAACUCCUACGGGAGGCAGCAGUGAGGAAUAUUG